rnacentral:rRNA from 1 species
AUUGAACGCUGGCGGCAGGCCUAACACAUGCAAGUCGAACGAGUGGCGGACGGGUGAGUAAUGUCUGGGAAACUGCCCGAUGGAGGGGGAUAACUACUGGAAACGGUAGCUCAUACCGCAUACCAUCGGAUGUGCCCAGAUUGGAUUAGCUCGUAGGUGGGGUAACGGCGCACCUAGGCGACGAUCCCUAGCUGGUAUGAGAGGAUGACCAGCCACACUGGAAAUGAGACACGGUCCAGACUCCGACGGGAGGCAGCAGUGGGGAAUAUUGCACAAUGGGCGCAAGCCUGAUGCAGCCAUGCCGCGUGUAUGAAGAAGGCCUUCGGGUUGUAAAGUACUUUCAGCGAGGAGGCGUUACUCGCAGAAGAAGCACCGGCUAACUCCGUGCCAGCAGCCGCGGUAAUUC